AUUAUUAAAGGGCCGCGGUAUUCCUGACCGUGCGAAGGUAGCAUAAUCAUUAGUCUUUUAAUUGAAGGCUUGUAUGAAAGGUUGGACGAAAAAUGGACUGUUUCAAAUAAAAAGAUUGAAUUUAACUUUUAAGUGAAAAGGCUUAAAUAAAUUAAAAAGACGAUAAGACCCUAUAAAUCUUUACAUUUGUUAUUAUAGGUUUUGGAUUGUGUGUGUAAAAAAAAAUAUAAUAAAAAUGUUGUGUUGGGGCAACAGUGAUAUAGUAAUAUUAAUUGUUAAAAAUAAAAACAAAUAUAUUUGUUAAAUAAAGAUCCUUUUUAAAGAUUUAAAGAUUAAGUUACUUUAGGGAUAACAGCGUUAUUUUUUCUGAGAGUUCUUAUCGAAGAAAAAGAUUGCGACCUCGAUGUUGAAUUAAAAAUUCUUUUUAAUGCAGCAGUUAAAAAAGAAAGUCUGUUCGACUUUUAAAUUUUUACAUGAUUUGAGUUCAGACCGGCGUGAGCAG
rnacentral:rRNA from 1 species